UCCUGGCUCAGGGCGAACGCUAGCGGCAGGCCUAAUACAUGCAAGUCGGACGGGAUUGGAAAGCUUGCUUUCCAUGAGAGUGGCGCACGGGUGCGUAACACGUAUGUAACCUACCUUUAUCAGGGGGAUAGCCUCUCGAAAGAGAGAUUAAGCCCGCAUAAAAUCACAAUGCAGCAUUGCAAAAUGAUCAAAUAUUUAUAGGAUAAAGAUGGGCAUGCGGAACAUUAGCUAGUUGGUAAGGUAACGGCUUACCAAGGCAACGAUGUUUAGGGGAUCUGAGAGGAUGACCCCCCACACUGGUACUGAGACACGGACCAGACUCCUACGGGAGGCAGCAGUAAGGAAUAUUGGUCAAUGGGCGGAAGCCUGAACCAGCCAUGCCGCGUGCAGGAAGACGGCCCUACGGGUUGUAAACUGCUUUUAUACGGGAAUAAACCCCCCAACGUGUUGGGGGCUGNAGAUGUACUGUAAGAAAUAAGGUUCGGCU
rnacentral:rRNA from 1 species